rnacentral:rRNA from 1 species
AGGGGAGCUUCCCAUACGGGUUGAAGCAUGACCGUAAGGACAUGUGGACAGUAUGGGAGUGAGAAUGUUGGCAUGAGUAGCGAGAUGUGGGUGAGAAUCCCCCAGGCCGUAAACCCAAGGUUUCCAGGGGAAGGUUCGUCCGCCCUGGGUUAGUCGGGACCUAAGCUGAGGCCGAAAGGCGUAGGUGAUGGACAACAGGUUGAUAUUC